rnacentral:rRNA from 1 species
CCUACGGGGGGCAGCAGUGGGGGAUAUUGCACAAUGGGGGAAGCCCUGAUGCAGCGACGCCGCGUGUGGGAAGACGGUCCUCUGGAUUGUAAACCACUGUCCCCAGGGACGAAGAUGACGGUACCUGGGGAGGAAGCUCCGGCUAACUACGUGCCAGCAGCCGCGGUAAUACGUAGGGGGCAAGCGUUAUCCGGAUUUACUGGGUGUAAAGGGAGCGUAGACGGUUGUGCAAGUCAGAAGUGAAAGCCCGGGGCUCAACUCCGGGACUGCUUUUGAAACUGUGAAACUGGAGUGCAGGAGAGGUA